rnacentral:lncRNA from 13 species
UCUCCAUGUACCAAUCAGGAUUCUUCUAUUAGCGUUCCAACCUUGUUGAUAUGAAAAAGCUGCUUCUCAGCAGAGGGAUGGCUCUGGUAGCAGCUGUCAGCCAGAAGCCUAUCAGAGUCACUACCUAUAUACAACUCUUUAUUUGUUAGGGGAAUGAGAGGAUCAGCUUACAAAAGUAAGACUACCCACCAGCAUCUAGAGCAGGAUCUGCACAGAACUCUCUGGGCUCUUCCGAUAUGUUUAACAGACAGCUAAAUUACUUUUAUAUCAACUGGAUUAUUUUGAGGUUUGGCUUUUAGAUCUGCUAGAAUGUGUCUAAUGUAACAUUUACUACAGGGCUAAUUUGACCCACCUAUUAAGGCUUGAUCUUUCUAGGGUAUUUACUUAAUGCUUCAGGUGUUUAAUAAGAACUUUUUGCCCUAGUUAGCCUAAUCCUAAAACUUUCCUGCCCUCUAUAAGUUCUAGGCAUUGUUCAGCUCACAAAUCCCUAGUAGUUUUUUUGCUCAGCUUCAUGUAGUUUCAUUGCAUGCAUGAAUGUCUUCACAUUCAGCAACAGACUCAAGGAAACUUCUAUGCAGGUUCCUGAAGCUCUUUCUCUGCAUGAUUUUUUUCACCUCUGAUACUCAGUCCUGAAAAUUCCUGUUGCUUCAACUGUUGUUAAUUCUCUGUUUCCUCAACUGAGUUAAACUGAUGUAUUUUUUGGACCUCCUUCCUACCCAAUAAUUCAUAAGUACCAGACAGAAACCACAGAAAUCAUGAAGUAUUUUAAAUCUGUUUUUCUUCUCCUAGAGAUCAUAGCUUUAUACUGUGUGAAAAGUGCUGUUUCAUGUAUUUCCUCAGUUUCCUAAUUGUUUAAAGCAAGCUAUAGAAGUGAUAAAUAACAGGGCUGGAAUUAAGGUGGGGUCUUUAGCACAUUACUUUUAAGGAGACAUUCACUCCCAAGGUGGUGCAAGUGUAAGAUCAUCAUCCAUGAGUGAGUGCUUCCUUCAAUUUUGUACUAUAAGCAUCUUUCUUGCCACACCUUAGUUCUAGUCUUAGUGAAUACAUUAUGAAGCAAAGCAAAAUUAUCCAAACCUUUGUAAUACACACGAUAACCAAAAGAUGGUAUUUAUCAUACAUAAGGUGCUAACAAAUCUAAAAGGAAACUAUAAAACUGGCUAAGAAAUGCAUGGUCAGAAGUAAAAGUCUGCACAUGUAACAUUUUAAAAAUUUAUACCAGUAUACCCCUCAAGGAAUAUCAUACCAAUUCUAAUUC